rnacentral:rRNA from 1 species
GAUGAACGCUGGCGCGUGCCUAAUACAUGCCAGUCGAGCGAACAGAUGAGGAGCUUGCUCCUCUGACGUUAGCGGCGGCCGGGUGAGUAACACGUGGAUAACCUACCUAUAAGACUGGGAUAACUUCGGGAAACCGGAGCUAAUACCGGAUAAUAUAUUGAACCGCAUGGUUCAAUAGUGAAAGACGGUUUUGCUGUCACUUAUAGAUGGAUCCGCGCCGCAUUAGCUAGUUGGUAAGGUAACGGCUUACCAAGGCAACGAUGCGUAGCCGACCUGAGAGGGGGAUCGGCCACACUGGAACUGAGACACGGUCCAGACUCCUACGGGAGGCAGCAGUAGGGAAUCUUCCGCAAUGGGCGAAAGCCUGACGGAGCAACGCCGCGUGAGUGAUGAAGGUCUUCGGAUCGUAAAACUCUGUUAUGAGGGAAGAACAAAUGUGUAAGUAACUAUGCACGUCUUGACGGUACCUAAUCAGAAAGCCACGGCUAACUACGUG